rnacentral:rRNA from 1 species
AUUGAACGCUGGCGGCAUGCCUUACACAUGCAAGUCGAACGGCAGCGGACCUUCGGGUGCCGGCGAGUGGCGAACGGGUGAGUAAUGCAUCGGAACGUACCUUUCAGUGGGGGAUAACGUAGCGAAAGUUACGCUAAUACCGCAUAUUCUGUGAGCAGGAAAGCAGGGGAUCGCAAGACCUUGCGCUGAUUGAGCGGCCGAUGUCAGAUUAGCUAGUUGGUGAGGUAAAGGCUCACCAAGGCGACGAUCUGUAGCGGGUCUGAGAGGAUGAUCCGCCAAACUGGGACUGAGACACGGCCCAGACUCCUACUGGAGGCAGCAGUGGGGAAUUUUGGACAAUGGGGGCAACCCUGAUCCAGCCAUGCCGCGUGAGUGAAGAAGGCCUUCGGGUUGUAAAGCUCUUUCGGCCGGGAAGAAAUCGCACAGGCUAAUACCUUGUGUGGAUGACGGUACCGGAAUAAGAAGCACCGGCUAACUACGUGCCAGCCGCCGCGGUAAUAC